rnacentral:lncRNA from 1 species
CGGGGGACUGCAUGAAGGGACAGCACUCGGGAGGACGCCGCCACGGGCGGCCAGGGAGCAGGGUAGUCAGAGCCAGCAGAGAGCCAGAACGCCUGGCCGCAGGCACAGAUGACUGAGAAGCAGGCAGGCCUUACCUGGGCAGCAGCUGGGCGGCUUCCUGGGCGGGUCUCUGGUGAUUCGGCCUCCCAAGAGCCAGGGCCCGAGGGCAGGGCUCAGGCCCCGUCUCUGAAGAUGUGCAUGAGAAAGACAGUUGCAGGUGGAUCUUGCAUCCCCAGAGGGUGACUGGAAGCUGCUAGGAAGGGGCCCGGGCCGUGGCCAGCUCCCUCGGCACCUGGGCCUGGCCACAGAGCAGACGCCCAGCCCGGUGAGGGACUGGCGCCGGCUCGGCCUCCCUGCGCUGACCGCCGCCUCGGCCGACACCCUUCCUCGUCCCUCGCUCUCUUCUUCACCCGUCCUCCCUCCUCCCACUCCUGGCGCAUCACCACCUAAAGCGCUGCUUGUGCCGGCGGCGGGUGGCUCCCACGGGCGCCCAGGGUGGCCGGCCCUCACCUGGCUCUUUGUGGCCUGCGCCCAGCCUCCGCCAGGCCUGAUCAAUACCAAUUUACAGUCAAACGCAGGGGCCGCCUUCCUGUUAAUGAAUUUCCCCAGUGCUCACCGCUUCUAAUGAACCCGUUAAACAGGGUUUAAGUAAACUUAGCAAGCGGCCAACUAAGCACUUUGGAAUACUUAAUUGUAUCGAUAUUGUUUUCCACAGCAUUUCAAAAUUUCUCUGUGAUGGAGAGCAGAGGCCCCUCCUCCCCACCACCUUCCAUGGCCACCACAAAGCCAGGAGUCAGAAAACCAUGAGAGUCUGAGGCAGAGUAAUGGGACCUUGGGGCCAGUCCCCAUGCAGGAAGGGGAGCUACCCCAUCCCAAGCCGGCACUGGGAGGACAAAGGAGCAGCACAGGACAGAGGCCCCGCUGUGGCCAGGUCAGUCACGCCUUCCCCCCAGACCCCGCGGCCCCCACCGCAGCACCUCGACCCUCUGCACCCCGGCAGUGACUGCAGGCACCGCUUCCUUGCAAAACGCCCGCAUGUCAAAGUUCUCGCAUCGCGGUUGGACGCGCCCUCCCGGCCCUGCUGUCUGCUGGCUCUGCAGUUUUCCAAAUGCGG